AUGGAGACCAGAAGCGGUCGGCUGCUGAAGCGGGCGACUGCGAGCUAGACUGGUCGGCACGCGGAACCGGAGCCCUGGAGAGCGUGCGGCGGCCUGAGGCUGCCUCUCGGGCUGACCAUUCCGGGUUCGGGGUAGGCCGGAGUUCUUCAGGGAGCAUCCCCGCCCCGACGCGCGGGUCCCCGCCUCCCGCGGCCGCACCGCCCCCCGGCUCCGCCCGCUCAGCCCGGCUAACGGUCGGCGCGGCCUGCCACGAGGGAGCGUCCGCGGCCCGCGCAGAGCCGCGCACCAAGUCGAUGGCCGUGGACGCAGCAGGGCCCCGCGGUCUGCGUGCGGGCAGGCGCUCGUGGGCGUGUCUCCCUGGCCCACGCGUGUCCCCGGCAUCAGUGUCUCGGCUCUGGUCCAGGACGAAGACUUCUGAAAGCAAGCCAAGGAGAAUCGCAGUUCUUACCGGAGGGAGCCCCUGACUGCCCGGUGGAAGGAGGUGGUUUAGAAGACAGUGAGACUCAGCUACUGUUCCCUGGUUUCCUGAGGUCUGUUUCCAUUGAGAUGCAAAGGACACAGAGCUCACAGGUGCUCCAGCAGUGCUGGUGUCAUGUUUGUAGGAAGCUGUCUAUGGACUACAGUAUUUCCCAGUGCCAGUCUGCAGACACUGCACGCCUCCCAAUAGAACAUUUCUUCCUGCGCCAAUCUAUCAGUGCAGCUCAGACUCUGGAAGCAAAUGACCUCUCUUGGCAGAGCCUGCACUGUAUGGGGAACAUCAGAUUUGUGUAAAGAAGAUCACCUGUCUCUUCUCAGCUGUGCACUGUAGAGAAGGUGCUGCAAAGGCCACAGUUACUCAGGAAAAUUUGGGGCUGUUUUCUAGGUUCAAGAGAGACUGGACAUCAAAGCUGCACUGGGACAUGUGGACCCCUUGAUCCACUUUGGCCAUUCCACCUCAGCUCAGAAUUACUCACUAGUGUCAGCACAGGAUGUUUCUUGGCUUCAAACCAUUUGGAUAAGCGAUGUCAGCAAGCUUCGCCGCUGUAAAGUCACCUCUUUAAAUCUUGAUGCUGUGUCAUGAAUCCCAGCACUCCUACGGGAAGAUGGGAGGCGGAGGCAGGAGUUCAUCUGGAAGCUUGAGGCCAGCCACCCAGAUCCUCAGAGCUGCAGACAAAAGAGAGGCCCUGCAGCAAAAGCGUGGAAGGUGAGAACCAACUCCGGAAAGUUGCCCUCUGACCUUUACAAGUGUAUAUGUCCACAUACAGACAAUAAAAUCAAUUGCUUCACUU
rnacentral:lncRNA from 1 species